CCUCCUUAUACGAUUUAGAACUUAUUUGUUCGUAGUGUCCACACAGAUGAUUGUUAGUUAGUUUUACCCUUUGGGUUUAACUGAUUAAUAUGCUCUUUAAAAAUUUGGAAAAGCUGAUAAUAAAAUUCGUAUAAAUAACACUGUUAUUUGUACAGAGUCUUCAAAAGUAAAAAAGAAUGAUAGCAGUAUCAUUCAGUGCCAAUUUAAUCAUUUAUGAUUAAUUGGUAUCUACUUUAGUAUUCAAUAUUAACUUCUGGCGAAGUUAAACUGUCACAUAACAAAGACCCGUUUGGGUUGUAUGGUUAAGUGACUAAGCGUACACGGUGGAUG
rnacentral:misc_RNA from 1 species